GAGUUUGAUCUUGGCUCAGAUUGAACGCUGGCGGCAUGCCUUACACAUGCAAGUCGAACGGCAGCAUGAUCUAGCUUGCUAGAUUGAUGGCGAGUGGCGAACGGGUGAGUAAUACAUCGGAACGUGCCCUGUAGUGGGAGAUAACUAGUCGAAAGAUUAGCUAAUACCGCAUACGACCUGAGGGUGAAAGUGGGGACCGCAAGGCCUCAUGCUAUAGGAGCGGCCGAUGUCUGAUUAGCUAGUUGGUGGGGUAAAGGCCCACCAAGGCGACGAUCAGUAGCUGGUCUGAGAGGACGAUCAGCCACACUGGGACUGAGACACGGCCCAGACUCCUACGGGAGGCAGCAGUGGGGAAUUUUGGACAAUGGGCGAAAGCCUGAUCCAGCAAUGCCGCGUGUGUGAAGAAGGCCUGGUGUAAG
rnacentral:rRNA from 1 species